CCAGCGUCCACCGCGGCGUUCACGUACGUGUCUAUAUACGGAAGAGGGCGUGUCUUCACCCUGAACCAGCUCGGUGAAAAAGCCAGUCGUCCUGCUCCAUGGGGAGAGAUGGGCUGAGACUCAGAGGACACCACCGACACCGCCGGACCGUCAGUGCUGCAGCCACAGACCGGGGCACUCCGGAAUUCUUCCCAGUUCCACUUGCCCUUGCUCCUCUCCACUCCUGGCCCCAGCAGGCCAGGGAAUGUCCCGGCAGCGAGAUGCCUUACGUGGACCGACAGAACCGCAUCUGUGGCUUCCUGGACAUCGAGGAAAAUGAAAGCAGCGGCAAGUUCCUGCGGCGCUACUUCAUACUGGACACACAGCAGGGAAGCCUGGUGUGGUUUAUGGACAACCCUCAGAACCUGCCUGUUGGUACUGACUGCGUUGGUUCUCUCAAGCUCACCUACAUCUCUAAGGUCAGCGAUGCCACAAAGCUGAGGCCUAAAGCAGAGUUCUGCUUUGUCAUCAAUGCCGGGAUGAGGAAGUUCUUCCUGCAGGCCAAUGAUCAGCAGGACCUCGUGGACUGGGUCAACGCUCUCAAUAAAGCCACUAAAAUCACUGUGCCAAAGUCGUAUGAUGGCCAACAGAAUACAGAGAACCAGAAGGUUUUGCCAGAUGUCACGGGACCAAAGAAACAAGUGUCUUAUAAGACAGAGAUAAUUGGAGGAGUCCCCAUCGUCACCCAGACACAGCGUGAUGGCGGUGACGGGGCAGACAGAGCAGAGCGAGAUGCCAUGCAGCGCUCUCACAGCCAGCUGCCGUACUUCCUGAGCAGGCCGACUCAAGAACACAGUGUCAUUAAGUCAGGUUACUGUGUCAAACAAGGAGCUGUGAUGAGGAACUGGAAACGUCGAUAUUUCCUACUGGAGGAAAACUCAAUGAGUUACUUCAAGUCUGAUUUGGAGAAAGAGCCUCUGAGAAUGAUCCCCCUGAAGGAAGUUCAUAAAGUCCAGGAGUGCAAACAGAGUGACAUUAUGAUGAGGGAUAAUCUGUUUGAAGUCGUCACCACAUCAAGGACAUUUUACAUACAGGCGGACAGUCCAGAGGAGAUGCACAGCUGGAUCAAGGCUGUCUCAGGGGCCAUUGUGGCCCAGCGGGGGCCUGGGAGGUCUGCUGCCACAAUGCGGCAGGCCAGACGGCUGUCGAACCCCUGUAUACAGAGGUAUACGUCCCGAAUCGGGGAGUGCAGCAGCACAGAUUGAAAUCUGACAAUGAAAGGCUGUGAAAUAAUGAUCAAGAACCAACCACUGCUUCCUAAGACACUCUGCUCUUCCACUGCAACCUGUUGAGACUACCAAAACUAAAACCUGCUGACACUACUACCACUGCUACCGCUACCUCUACUACUCCUACUACUACUGCUACUUCUUCUGCUACUACAGCCACCAUCUCCACUCUCUUGCAAUGCUACAUUCUUCAGCACCUACAUCCCUAAAGCUGCAUCAGGCCCCACAUGCUGGUGCUGAUUCCAAGAACAUGGCAGCCGUUCCACUUUCUACCGUAUCUCAUCGGGCCCCCCCGUCCCUCGCUCGCCCAUAUCUGCCAUGCCACCAUGCUACCCAGAGUGGGGGGCUGCUGUCACGUGCGGCACACGCACACAGCCUGGCGUGGGACAGCGAGCACUUCAUGAGCCUGCUGCCACGGCCCAGUCACAGCCACACGCCAGCACGCCUGUCCCUGCAGGAGACACGUCUGGCAAAGUGACCU